rnacentral:rRNA from 1 species
GACGAACGCUGGCGGCGUGCCUAAUACAUGCAAGUCGUGCGGACUUAUCUUCGGAUAAGUUAGCGGCGGACGGGUGAGUAACACGUGGGCAACCUGCCUGUAAGACUGGGAUAACUCCGGGAAACCGGUGCUAAUACCAGAUACAAUCAAAGACCGCCUGGUCUUUGAUGGAAAGGUCUUGUACCGCUUACAGAUGGGCCCGCGGCGCAUUAGCUAGUUGGUGGGGUAACGGCCUACCAAGGCGACGAUGCGUAGCCGACCUGAGAGGGUGAUCGGCCACACUGGGACUGAGACACGGCCCAGACUCCUACGGGAGGCAGCAGUAGGGAAUCUUCCGCAAUAGACGAAAGUCUGACGGAGCAACGCCGCGUGAGUGAUGAAGGCUUUCGGGUCGUAAAACUCUGUUGUCAGGGAAGAACAUCCGGGAUAACCUCCCGGUCUGACGGUACCUGAUCAGAAAGCCCCGGCUAACUACGUGCCAGCAGCCGCGGUAAUACGUAGGGGGCAAGCGUUGUCCGGAAUUAUUGGGCGUAAAGCGCGUGCAGGCGGUUUCUUAAGUCUGGUGUGAAAGCCCGCAGCUCAACUGCGGAGGGCCACUGGAAACUGGGAAACUUGAGUGUAGGAGAGGAGAGCGGAAUUCCACGUGUAGCGGUGAAAUGCGUAGAUAUGUGGAGGAACACCCGUGGCGAAAGCGGCUCUCUGGCCUAUAACUGACGCUGAGGCGCGAAAGCGUGGGGAGCAAACAGGAUUAGAUACCCUGGUAGUCCACGCCGUAAACGAUGAGUGCUAGGUGUUGGGGACUCCAAUCCUCAGUGCCGCAGCUAACGCAAUAAGCACUCCGCCUGGGGAGUACGGCCGCAAGGCUG